AAAGCACUGAAACAGGUUUGCUUUCACACGGGGCGAUAUCCUGGCCAGGGUCAUCUACAUGUUGAGCAUCCCCAACCUUCCUGAAGCAGCACCUGCCUACAACUCUUUCUUAUAAUCURUAGAGCACCCGUUGCAAUCCUGUAUCUGCUCCUUUUAGCCCGUAUUUGCCUAACUCUAGGAAUUAGACUAUGGUCUCGGUGUUGGCCGUAUGGAAACCUGGGGUCUGCAGGAUUUUGCAUUUGUAUUUGAAGAGCAGACAGGCUGUCAGUAAGAUGCGCUUCGUGUGCGUGCUGUUGGUAAAAGCAGAUUACAAAAGAAAACAGAA